CCCCCAGGUGACCCCCCAGGGGUCUCAGAGCCCCUCCUCCACCCACGGCUCCGCCCCCUGGGACCCCCCCAAGGGUGAGGAUUGGCCACACCCCUACGAGGAGGUGGAGCCUUGGGGGGGCUACGAGGAGGUGCCCCCGGAGCCCCUCGUGACCCCCCAGGGGGAGCUCGUCUGAGGGGGGGGAGGGGCCAAAAACAGGCCCCGCCCACCCCCAACAACCCCCUCCCACUCUCAAUAAGCUCCUCCCACCACCACAAACCCCUCCCACUCAAAUAAGCCCCUCCCACCCCCAAUAAGCCCCUCCCACCCUAAAUAAGCCCCUCCCACCCCAAACAAGCCCCUCCCACCCCCACAAACCCAUCCCACCCAAAAUAAACUCCGCCCACUCCCUAAAUAAGCCCCUCCCACCCUUAAAUAAGCUCCUCCCACCCCAAAUAAACCCCUCCCACCUUCAAAUAAGCUCCUCCCACUCCCAAAUAAACCCCUCCUACCCCUAAAUAAGCCCCUCCCACUCCCAAAUAAACCCCACCCACCUUCAAAUAAGCUCCUCCCACCCCAAAUAAACCCCUCUUACCUUCAAAUAAGCUCCUCCCACCCUUAAAUAAGCUCCUCCCACCCCAAAUAAACCCCCUCCCACUCCCUAAAUAAGCCCCUCCCACCCCAAUAAACCCCUCCCACCUUCAAAUAAGCUCCUCCCACUCCCAAAU